GGGACGGUGGCUCAGUGGUAGAGUGCUUGCCUUGCAUGCAUGAGGCCUGGAUUCGAUUCCUCAGCACCA
rnacentral:tRNA from 1 species